UGGGGAAUAUUGGACAAUGGGCGAAAGCCUGAUCCAGCCAUGCCGCGUGUGUGAAGAAGGUCUUCGGAUUGUAAAGCACUUUAAGUUGGGAGGAAGGGCAGUAAGCUAAUACCUUGCUGUUUUGACGUUACCGACAGAAUAAGCACCGGCUAACUCUGUGCCAGCAGCCGCGGUAAUACAGAGGGUGCAAGCGUUAAUCGGAAUUACUGGGCGUAAAGCGCGCGUAGGUGGUUUGUUAAGUUGGAUGUGAAAGCCCCGGGCUCAACCUGGGAACUGCAUCCAAAACUGGCAGGCUAGAGUACGGUAGAGGGUGGUGGAAUUUCCUGUGUAGAGGUGAAAUGCGUAGAUAUAGGAAGGAACACCAGUGGCGAAGGCGACCACCUGGACUGAUACUGACACUGAGGUGCGAAAGCGUGGGGAGCAAACA
rnacentral:rRNA from 1 species